CACUAUGCUUAGCCCUAAACAUUGAUAGUGCAUUACAAACGCUAUCCGCCCGGGUACUACGAGCAUCAGCUUAAAACCCAAAGGACUUGACGGUGCUUUAGACCCACCUAGAGGAGCCUGUUCUAGAACCGAUAAUCCACGUUAAACCUUACCUUUUCUUGUUAACCCCGCCUAUAUACCGCCGUCGUCAGCUUACCCUGCAAAGGACACAUAGUAAGCAAAGUUGGUAAGACCCAAAACGCCAGGUCGAGGUGUAGCGUAUGAAAAGGAAAGAAAUGGGCUACAUUCCGUGAUACAAUGAAUACGAAUGAUGGACUGAAAAACCCAUCUGAAGGAGGAUUUAGCAGUAAGAGGAAAGCAGAGAGUUCCCCUGAAGCAGGCCCUGAAGCGCGUACACACCGCCCGUCACUCUCCCCGAAUACACUAAACCUGUAAGUAACACAAUGAACCAGACAAGGGGAGGCAAGUCGUAA
rnacentral:rRNA from 1 species